AUGGCUGUCCUGGUGCUGCUUCUCUGCCCGGUGACUUUUCCAAGCUGUGUCCUGUCCCAGUCGAAGUUAGAGGAGUCAGGACCAGGCCUGGUGCAGUCCUCAGAGACCCUGUCUCUCACCUGCACUGUCACCGGGUUCUUAUUGACUGGCUAUGGAGUACACUGGUUCCGCCAGGCUCCAGGAAAGGGUCUGGAGUAGAUCGGAGGGACAUGGAGUGGUGGAGGCGUAUAUUAUAGCUCCAUUCUCAAAUCCAGAACCACCAUCAGCAGAGACACCUCCAAGAGCCAGGUUUUCUUAAAACUGAACAAUCUACAAACUGAGGACACAGCCACCUAUUACUGUGCCAGAUACACAGUGAGGGAACUCCAAUGUGAGACUGUACAAAAAUCUCACUACAGAAACGCUCAGGACCAGCAGGGGGCGCUGAGGACAAGCAAACACUCCAUGGACAACUGGAGUCACUUAAGACAGAAGCUAGGAAAUUUUGGACUAUUUGAUCAUGUGUUUUAA